UACGAAGGGGGCUAGCGUUGUUCGGAUUUACUGGGCGUAAAGCGCACGUAGGCGGGUCUUUAAGUCAGGGGUGAAGUCCUGGAGCUCAACUCCAGAACUGCCUUUGAUACUGAAGAUCUUGAGUUCGGGAGAGGUGAGUGGAACUGCGAGUGUAGAGGUGAAAUUCGUAGAUAUUCGCAAGAACACCAGUGGCGAAGGCGGCUCACUGGUCCGGUACUGACGCUGAGGUGCGAAAGCGUGGGGAGCAACAGG
rnacentral:rRNA from 1 species